rnacentral:rRNA from 1 species
CCGCACAAGCGGUGGAGCAUGUGGUUUAAUUCGAUGCAACGCGAAGAACCUUACCUACACUUGACAUGCAGAGAACUUUCCAGAGAUGGAUUGGUGCCUUCGGGAACUCUGACACAGGUGCUGCAUGGCUGUCGUCAGCUCGUGUCGUGAGAUGUUGGGUUAAGUCCCGCAACGAGCGCAACCCUCGCCGUUAGUUGCCAGCAGGUUUGGCUGGGCACUCUAACGGGACCGCCGGUGUUAAGCCGGAGGAAGGUGGGGAUGACGUCAAGUCCUCAUGGCCCUUACGGGUAGGGCUACACACGUGCUACAAUGGCAGUGACAGAGAGCUAAUCUCAAAAAACUGUCUCAGUUCGGAUUGUCUUCUGCAACUCGAAGGCAUGAAGUUGGAAUCGCUAGUAAUCGCGGAUCAGCAUGCCACGGUGAAUACGUUCCCGGGCCUUGUACACACCGCCCGUCAC